AUGGGCCUCCUAUCGUCCAUCCUGCAAUGGUGCGCACUCCUGCCCAAGUUCCUCUCACUCCUGGUGGCCAACCUUCCUGACCCCGCCAACUGCGCCCGCUGCCGCGCCGUCCACCGUCCAAGGAGCUCGGCCGUGCGCCACCAUGGCCCCCAAGCGCGCCCGCUGCCAUGGGUCGCCCUCCGAGAUAACUACGUCGUCACCUCCUACAGCGGCCACAUGCACCGGCUCCCCAAGAACGCCAUGACUGCAGGCUCCACCAACGACUGGCUUGCUCUCGGCCUCGGCCAGAAGCACACCAACGAGGAGCAAACAGAGCACUAUGUCGUCCACAACUAUGUCUUGCACAAUCCUUUCUCAAACAGGUCUCUUCCGCUGCCUGAGCUCGACGCCGUCAUCGUCCAGGACGGGUCUUUCGUCCGCAAAUUCCUCAUGCGCUCGACGGUCGAUGACUUCAUCGCCGUCAUCACCAGCAACAGGAAGCAUCCGCUCAUUGUAUUCCAGCGAGGGAAGGGUGUGUGGUCCCCAGAGCCAUGGGCAGCUCCAUAUACCUACCUCAUUGACAUCGCGUUUCUUGAUGAUAAACUGUAUGCCAUCACCACGGCUGAGGACCUCAUCCCCCUUGAUCUUGCAUUGGAUGAAGACGGAAGGCCCGUGGUUGCAAUGGGAACACGUGUCAUCAAGAAAUCACUCCGCUAUGAUUGUUAUGAAUUAUUGACCACUUUUGAUGAGGAGGAUGAUGGCCAGAAUGAAGAAGAGGAAGACGAUGAAGAGGAGGAAGAGGGAGAAGAUAAUGAUUUGGCCUGCUAUACCAAUUGCUCAGAUGAAUUUGCAAGAGACGUCAAACCUGGUAAUAUCACCGUAAUUAGCCGGCACCUCAUCGAGUCGCAUGGGAAGCUACUCAUGGUAAGGCAUCGCCGACAGUUCCAUCCAGAUGGUUUGUGGGUCACUCUCAAGGUGGAUGUUCUUGAAGCGGACUUUAGCACACAUGAUUGGGUGCCACUAACCGGAGGGCUAGGCGGCGGUCAAGCACUCUUUGUUAGCAUGGAGUUCUCCAAGUCUGUCUCGGCACCCUGUGGAGAGGUGGAGGAAGAUGCAAUUUAUUUUAUGGACACGACAGAUGUGUUCAACAUGAAGUCCGCUACUUCUAGCCCGUCAAAGUUCGAUAGGGGGGCAACAUGGGUCUUCCCUCCAGAGUACCAGCUUUAA
rnacentral:rRNA from 1 species